rnacentral:rRNA from 1 species
AGUGAACGCUGGCGGUAGGCCUAACACAUGCAAGUCGAACGGCAGCACAGUAAGAGCUUGCUCUUACGGGUGGCGAGUGGCGGACGGGUGAGGAGUACAUCGGAAUCUACUUUUUCGUGGGGGAUAACGUAGGGAAACUUACGCUAAUACCGCAUACGACCUACGGGUGAAAGCAGGGGAUCUUCGGACCUUGCGCGAUUGAAUGAGCCGAUGUCGGAUUAGCUAGUUGGCGGGGUAAAGGCCCACCAAGGCGACGAUCCGUAGCUGGUCUGAGAGGAUGAUCAGCCACACUGGAACUGAGACACGGUCCAGACUCCUACGGGAGGCAGCAGUGGGGAAUAUUGGACGAUGGGCGCAAGCCUGAUCCAGCCAUACCGCGUGGGUGAAGAAGGCCUUCGGGUUGUAAAGCCCUUUUGUUGGGAAAGAAAAGCAGCAGGUUAAUACCCCGCUGUUCUGACGGUACCCAAAGAAUAAGCACCGGCUAACUUCGUG